CCUACGGGAGGCAGCAGUGGGGGAUAUUGCACAAUGGGGGAAACCCUGAUGCAGCGACGCCGCGUGAGUGAAGAAGGAUUUCGGUAUGUAAAGCUCUAUCAGCAGGGAAGAAAAUGACAGUACCUGACCAAGAAGCCCCGUCUAACUACGUGACAGCAGCCGCGGUAAUACGUAGGGGGCAAGCGUUAUCCGGAUUUACUGGGGGUAAAGGGGGCGCAGACGGGCAUGCAAGCCAGGAGUGAAAGCCCGGGGCCCAACCCCGGGACUGCUCUUGAAACUGGGUGGCUAGAGUGCAGGAGGGGCAGGCGGAAUUCAUGGUGUAGCGGUGAAAUGCGUAGAUAUCAGGAGGAACACCGAUGGCGAAGGCGGCCUGCUGGACUGCAACUGACGUUGAGGCCCGAAAGCGUGGGGAGCAAACAGGAUUAGAUACCCCUGUAGUC
rnacentral:rRNA from 1 species